rnacentral:lncRNA from 1 species
GAACUUCGAAGUUCGAUAAGAAGCAGCAAGGCUCAAACCACUCCUUUUCUCGGUAGAUCUAAAUUAAUGAUGGUGUGGACAACGUCGGCUAUACAAGGUGAAUAAAUUACAUAAAAUUACCAGAUAGAUUAGCAUAUAAUUCAUUAGUGAUAUUUUGGGGGAAAAACUCCUCGUAUUUCUUGGUGUAUAUUUAUUUUCUUUAAAGUGAGAAUGAGCAAUCCAAAGGUGCAUAUACUACUUUAUUUUCUUUUUGUUUCAUCUACUUUACUAUAUGCGACCUUAAUUUGUGUUUGUAAUUGUUUUUCAACUUUACUUGUAUUUGGAGAUCUGAGCCAAGGAUUGUGAUGAAUUUUUUGUUUUUUAUUUUUGGGGUAGGGCUUGGAUUCAAAGGUAUGCAGACUAAUUUAUUACAUUGAAAGGCAUAUUGAAGGAGCUUCAGGAUCCGUAGAAGGAUCUUCUGUUGUAGGCUAAUUUGGAAAUGAAAGAAGUCUCCCACACCCUGCAGUGUUGGUAUGUCGGCUCUACAUCCUAUUUUUCCUUCCACUUCUCAUUUUUUUAUGGUUCCUGAACUUAUUGUCUUAGUUUUGUUAGCUUAUGACCAAUAUUUAGGUCCUCGUGUGAACUUCUGGUGUGUUCUGUGGCUUUGUGAGGUUCUUGUUGCUAAGUUUAGAACAUGGAGCAUAAGAACAAGCUUGAUUUAGUAAUUGUAACAUCCGACAAUUUAAAAUGAAUAUGAAGAAGCUUGAAAUUGGAAGUAGUCAUUUUUGGAAAAAAUAUUUAGAAUCUGGAAAUUCAGCCAAGUGUGGAAAUCAGUGAGUUUUUGGCCAACUUUGAGCAGUCAUACUCCUAGAUCAGGAUGAUCCAGGAGUAGUUCCAGUUAUGUUUGGAAAGCCCUUGGAACGAUCUUUCCAACGCCACCGAGUUUGCUCAAUUCCGAGUUCGUAUGAGCGAGUUAUGCCCUUUGAAAGUUGGGCAGUUGGCAGGGAAUCCGUCCGGAAAAUUUAAGGGCAUUUUGGUCUUUUCACAAAUCUUUUCUUUUGAGGUUAUAUUGUUGUGUUAGGCUGUUUGUGGAUCAUUUUUGUUCCAUUUUAAAAGAGUAAGAGUUAGGGUUCUUGAGAGUGAAGAAGAAGAAGAACUUGGAGCUAGGGCUUGGUUUGAAGACGUUUUCUUCAUCAAAUUUCUUGGGGAAUCUUAGUAAAGGUAUGGGAGUUCUUUAUCUAGGGCAAGCUAUCACCCUAGAGCCAAUUUCAAAUGGUUUUCAACUUUUCCAAAGUUUGUGAAAAAGCCUAAUUUCUACUCAAACUCAUGGGUUCUUGCAUGAAAUGAUUUCAAAUGAUAAGUUAUGAUAUUAUUGAUGUUUAUUUGAUGUUUUAAGAUGAAAAACUCCAUGAAUCCUUGUAUCCUACAAAACCCUAAAAUGUGUUUAUGAAGUGGGUCUAUUUCUAUAAAUUCAAAGUUGAUGGAAUUAUGUGUAAAGUGAAUUGUAUUGAUAUCUCUUGUGUUGUUUAAUUUUUAUUCAUGAUUAAUUGUUGAUAAUGGGUGAAUUAAGGGUGGUAAGCCUUAUGGGUGAAGUAUUGGUGAUUGCUUGGAUUUUUGGUGAUUUUGGCUAUGGCUUUGAAUUAUGGUAAGAAAGCUUGAACUCUCUUUAUUGAAUUUGAAGCUAUAUGUGAAGGAAUGAUGUGAAUGAGUUUUAUGUGAAGCUAUAUGUGAAGGAAUGAUGUGAAUGAGUUUUAUGUGAAGCUAUAUGUGAAGGAAUGAUGUGAAUGAGUUUUAUGUGAAGCUAUAUGUGAAGGUAUGAUGUGAAUGAGUUUAUGUGAUCUUGUGAUGAUCCUAUGUAAAGUGGAUAGCAUUGUGAGUUAAAGUAUGAUUUCUCAUGAUGUAUAUAUGAAAUGAUGUUGGAUUAUGAAGUAUCCUUAAAUGAAAAUGUUGUGACUUGGUUGGUAGACUAAAGUGUCCCUCCUUGUUACUUAAAGUCUUGAAUGCAUGAAUGUGUGAAAUGGGCAAAACUAAGAAAUGGUGCCCUUUCAUAAGUCUAGCUUUCCUAAGUAAAUGUAAAACCAUGAAAUCGGUAGACCUAAUGGUGGUAGCCCUUCUCAUGUGUGAAAUGAUGAACCUUGGAUCGGUAGGCCUAAGGCACCCUUCUAGGGGGAUUUAAUGAGCUAUCCUUAUGAACCUUGAUUGGCCAUGACUAAGAAAUGGGGCCUUUCUUGGGAAGAGGUACUAUGAGUUGGUUGAACUAGAAAAGGAACCUUCUCUAAGUACAUAUGUGAUUGAAUACUCUAUGGGAAACAAGGCUAGCACCGAGUGGAUGUGGUUAGGAAGGUGGCCUAGUUGAGUAUGAGAUUAGGCACAAUGAACUUCCUUGGACAUCCCCUAAACCAUGUGCCUACAUGGGAUGUGUCCUAGUUCUACCCUUGGCAAGUAGAACACCUUCCACGGUGUAGGGUUUUAUGACACCGGAUUCCAUGUCUAGCUUGCAUGGUCUAUGUCGGUUAAUGCCUAUUCCCAUCAUGUGGGAUGUGCACUCUAGUUAUUGGAUAGGUUCUACAACGUGUAGGUAGUAGUAUGGGAUGCUAUCUACACAUGGCACGAGUAGGCUUUGAAGAUACUAAAGUGAGUUCCCUAAGUCUAACGACUAUUAUGUGAAAGUCCCCUUAUGUGCUUGAAUGUCUCCAAAAUGGUUUCUUAAAGAAUGUUGGUCUAUUGAUGUUAUGUUGUAAAGGAAAUGUCCUUAUCUAAGGUAAUCUUGGGGAACACUUAAGUGUGCUUGAAGAGGUUGUAUGGGCGGUCACUUCUUGUCUCACUCAAGUGUGUCUUAAGGUUAUAUUAGGUAGAGGUCCUAUGGUAAUGAAAUGACAUGUGUUCUUUUAAAGUUAAGCAUGGGUUGUAUGUGGAUUUAUGUUGAGUAUAUGUAUGGUUGGCUAUGGUCUUAUAUGUUAAUGUUGACUUGUAUUAUGUCUCUUAUACUUGUAAAGGAAAGGUUUUAUCAAAUUGAUAUGAAAGCAUUUAUUCUUUGAAAAUGUCCUUUUUGGCAUGUUUUUGCAUGGUCUCCAUACUUAGUACUUAAUUGUGCUAACCCCUUUCUUUCCCUUUUUAACUAAAGUGUAGGGAUUUGGAGAUGGUGACAUGUCAUGGCUAUUUGAUAGGUUUCUAAGUGUUGAAGAUGAAGACUUGGUGAGUCCUCAUAGAUUCGAGGACAAUACCCUACAUGUUCCUUUUUAUGUAUUUCUAGUAUUUUGUUCAAGUCUUGUAUGGGCUUAGUCCUUAUUUUGUACUCUAAAGUACUAGAUGGUUUUGAGACAUCAUGUAUAAAGUCUAGAAAGUCUUCCGCUUGCUAUUUUUAAUUAAAUGUUUUCUUGGUAAAGAAAGUUUUAAAUUCAUUAUGUUUUUAGUGUCUAUGCGAUGAAUGAAUGCUAAGAGGCUUGUAUUAGACCUCUUCGAGGUCGAGUACGCCGGUUACGACUAAGGGGUGCUCCCGGGUCGUGACAGUAAUUAUAUGUUUCUAUACGAACAAAAAUACAUGACUUAAAUAUUUGAUUCUAUAACAUUACUAUCUGUUUCAUAUACUCUUAUUGUUUCUAUAAAUCCUAAUUUCAUACUUGUUAAUCUCUUAUUUUUAUUUUUCAGAAAUAAGGGAAAUCCUUUAGAUUUUUUGAAUAUGUCUUGAUUGUUAACCGCCUAAAAUAGAAUAUAUUGAGUCUUUUUAGUAUAAAUAUUACAUCUCUAACAUAUAAACGACAAACUUUAAUGUACGAUAACGUUUCAUACUCAUUGGGUAAGAAAUGUUGUUUUACUAUUUUGAAUCCUUUCUUUUGCUGGCUGCAAGCCAAGAUUCUUCAUUGUGAAACAUCUUUUAUUCUACUGGUUAGUGCUCUGUCAAAGUAAUUAUGAUUUAAACGUGAUAGUUCUUAGUAGUUAUGUUGGAAUUAUUGAUGAUAAACAAGGAAAGGAGACAUCAAAGGGAGAAAAGACAAACAAGCAGACAAGAGCUUCAUGUUUGGCUUUGAUCUCAUCGGAAAAGUCUAAUCCCUUCAUCUGGUCUGAAAAGGACAAAAGGGUGGUACACUCUGGGUUGAAGAAUUGUUUUAACAUUAGGCUAGCUAAAAGCCCACCUCAAAUAAAAGAAGUCAUCAGACCAUUUCGUAUAAAUGGCCCAAUAGACAAUAGAUAUGCAACAUACAUACAUAGAAAAGGAAUAAAGUUUGUUAUAGAUUAAGCCAAUUAAUCUUGUACAUCUGGCAUAGCAGUUAUAAUAGAAGGUUCCUUUUAUUUCCUCUUUUGUAUAUAAAUAUAGGAUCAAGAAUUGUAAAUUGGAUCGAUCAACAUACACAGAAAUUUUUCAAGUCCUGUUUGCUUUCUUUCAUGGUAUCAGAGCUUACCUAAUCAUAAAUUCUCUAAUCUAUCACCCUAAGCAACAGAAAUGCCUGAUUCUGUAGUCUCUAUUGGAACGACAACUGGUAGUACUAACACUACUCCUGGAAUUGAUUCCAAUCACCCCUAUUUCCUCACAAACUCAGAUGCACCGAGUAUGACCCUCGUUAAUGGUAUCUUUGAUGGCAAAGGAUACCAGGCAUGGAAGAGAUCUGCACUCAUUGCCCUUUCAGCAAAGAACAAGCUGGGUUUUAUUACAGGGGAUCAGCCUGCACCAACUGUUGGUUCUUCAGAUCUGCAGCUAUGGAGCAGAUGUAAUGACAUGGUUACUUCAUGGUUGCUCAACUCUCUCUCCAGGGAAAUUGCUGAUAGUGUGAUUUACUCCAGAUCUGCUAGAGAACUUUGGCUCAGCUUGGAGCAUCGAUUUGGUCAGUCAAAUGGUGCUAAACUCUUUCACCUGCAAAAGGAAUUAAGUAGGUUAGUUCAGGGAAACAAUAACAUAGCAGGAUAUUUCACUAAUCUUAAAAGACUCUGGGAUGAACUAGACUCUUUAAAUUCAAACAUCAAAUGUUCAUGUGUGUGUGUCUGUCAAGGAAAACAUAAAAUGGAGAAAUCUAUGGAGGAUGAAAAGCUUAUUCACUUCCUUAUGGGGCUCAAUGACACUUAUGCUCAGGCUAGAGGAAACAUCUUAAUGAUGAAUCCACUUCCUAACAUCAACAUUGCAUACUCCUUGAUCUUGCAAGAUGAAAAUCAGAGGAAGACUUACAUGAGUCCUUUUAUGCCCUCUGAUUCAUAUAGUAACAUGAAUCAGCAUAGAGGAAGGCAGCCUCAAUAAUUCACUGGUAACACAUUCAGAUCUGGAAAUACAUAUCCUAGAAAUGACAACUCACAAGGCUCACAGAAACCUCAAAAACAGUUUCAGAAAUUCAAAGGAAAAAAGGGAAAAUAUGAUCCUAAUGCAAACUGCACCCACUGUGGUAAGAAUGGACACUUGAAGUUGAACUGUUAUAGAUUGAUUGGGUUUCCAGAAGUCUUUCAGUUUACAAAUGAGAAGGGAAGUCAUGGUCAAAUAAGAGGAAAUGCAGUGGUCAACAUGGAGGAGGCAGAAGUUGGAUCCACUGCUCAUGCUAUCAAUCAACAUUUCACUUAGGAACAAAUCAAUUUUCUGUUUCAAAAUGGGAAAGAGCUACUUCAAGCUUUCACGCAGAUGAAGGUGGAAGAUAAGACCAACUUCUCAAAUGCUUCUGAGAUCAAUGCAAAUGUUGUAGCUGGUACACUAAUGAAGUAUUUUGGUUCCUGUUUCUCUGUUUUCAAUUCAAAUACAUGGAUUGUAGACUCGGGUGCUUCAGAACAUACGUGUUUUAAUCCUGAUUCUUUCUUAUCUAUGUCCCCCCUUACAGUUCCUCUAAACAUCAAUCUUCCUAAUUCAGAAUCUAUCAAUGUUACGCAUACUGGUGUUGUAUGUUUGUUUUCUGACCUAAUUCUGACUAAUGUCCUCUAUGUUCCUAGUUUCAAAUAUAACUUACUAUCAGUUCAUAAGUUAUGUUGUCAAUUCAACUUUUCAAUCUCUUUCACUUCUAAUGAAUGUCUACUGCAGGGCCUUUCCAUGAAGAAUCCUAAAGUUUUUGGUAAGGCUAAGGAGGGUCUCUACUUGCUUCAGCCAAAUCCUAAGACGUCUAUUCUUCAGUCAACUGAUUCCCAAUCUGUUUCUUUUCCUUUUUCUGUUUGUUCUAGUGCACUUUCUGAUGUAAAGUUGUGGCACAUUAGACUUGGGCAUCUGCCUUUAACAUCAAUGAAAAAUGUCAGUUUCAUUUCUGUUCCUUCUAGUCUUGAUUGUUAUUGUGAUAUUUGUCCACAAGCUAGGCAAUCUAGGCUUCCCUUUCCUAUCAGUCAUAAUAAAUCUAAAUCCAAGUUUGAGUUAAUUCAUGUUGACACCUGGGGGCCCUAUAAGGUACCAACUUAUAAUCAUCAUAAAUAUUUUCUUACUAUAGUUGAUGACUAUAGCAGGGCUACUUGGACAUAUCUAUUGGCUAGUAAGAGUAACUCGUUUCAUGCUUUACAGUCUUUUAUACAAAUGGUGCACAGACAGUUUGAUGCAAAGGUAAAGAUAGUGAGAUCAGAUAAUGCUCUUGAGCUAGGGAAAAGUGAGGCAGGUCUCUGUUUCUUCAACUCCCUUGGCAUAAUUCAUCAGACCUCUUGUGUUGCUUCCCCUCAACAAAAUGGUAUUGUUGAAAGGAAGCACAGACAUCUACUUGAGACUGCCAGGGCACUUAUGUUUCAAUCAAAAGUUCCUAUGAUUUAUUGGGGAGAGUGUAUCUUAACAGCUACUUUUCUUAUUAAUAGGUUCCCAUCCAAAGUUAUUGAUGGCAAGACGCCUUUUGAAUUGAUUUUUGGGAAAACCCCUUCUUAUCAUUUCUUAAGAUGUUUUGGUUGCUUAUGUUAUGCUAAUACUUUGAGUCAGGGGAGAGGUAAGUUUGACUCAAGGGCCAGAAGUUGUGCACUUCUGGGCUAUCCUAUAAAUCAGAAAGGUUACAAGUUAUUGGACUUGCAUACUAAAAAGAUUUUCAUCUCUAGAGAUGUGCAUUUUGUUGAGCAUAUCUUUCCUUUUGCUACUGCACAGUACGUUCCUCCUAUUUUUUCAGAACAUCCUAUUGAUUCUGAUUUUUUUUUCUUCUCCAUCUACUCCUCAGACUUCUCCCUCUCCUACUUUUCCUUCUUUGGAUCCAAUUUUGGUAUCCUCUCCUCCUUCUAACCUAUCUGAACCUGUUGUGGCUUCUCCCACCCCUGUUCCUCCUCUCAGAAGGUCCUCUAGGUCUACAUUAGGGAAAGCUCCUUCUCAUCUGCAUGAUUACAUCUGCAAUCUUAUAACUCUUACUGAUGUCACACACUCCUGUUUCUCCUCUACUCACACCCCUUCCACUAUUUUUGUUCAUACUCUUUCUCAACCUAAUCAAACCACCAUUCACAACACCUCUCAUAUCUUAGAACCUACCAGUUAUGCACAAGCUUGUUCUCAUCCAGGUUGGCUACAAGCCAUGGCUGCUGAACUUGAAGCUUUGCAAUCCGACUACACUUGGGAUGUGGUUCCUUUGCCUUAUGGUCGAAAAGCUUUACCUUGUAAGUGGGUCUACAAGGUUAAGCAACAUGUUGAUGGUACUUUGGAAAGACUGAAGGCCCGAUUGGUUGUGAAAGGUGACAUACAACAACAGGGGAUUGAUUUCACUGAAACCUUUUCCCCUGUUGUUAAGAUGACCACUAUUAGAUGUUUGUUGGCUAUUGCAGCCAAGAAAUCUUGGGACAUUUUUCAAUUUGAUGUCAAUAAUGCAUUUCUUAAAGGUGAUUUACAAGAGGAGGUUUAUAUGAAAUUUCCUAUAGGUUUGGUUCCUCCUCAACCUAAUAUGGUUUGCAAACUCCGCAAAUCUCUCUAUGGUCUUAAACAGGCUUCUCGGCAGUGGUAUGCCAAACUUGCCGGAGCUCUCACUUUUAAGGGUUUCACUGCCUCCCUCAAUGACUAUUCUUUAUUCUUCAAGAGGACAGGUUCUCUUACUACUAUUAUUGCCGUCUAUGUGGACGACAUCCUUAUUACGGGUGAUGAUCACCAAGAAAUCUCUGCUCUUAAGUUAUUUCUUCACUCAGAAUUUAAGAUCAAGGACCUUGGUCUUUUACACUAUUUUUUAGGCCUGGAACCACAUGGUAUUAUCAUCAGUCAAAGGAAAUAUACCUUGGAGCUUCUACAGGAGUUUGAUGUAGCUCAUCUUCCAUAUGUUUCUUCUCCUUUAGAUCCAUCUGUCAAAUUACUUGCAGAUUCAGGGGAUUUCAUGACAGAUCCUACACUAUACAGACAUCUCAUCGGCAAACUUAACUAUUUGACUCAUACCCGUCCCGAUUUGUCUCAUUCCGUUUUGAUUCUCAGUCAGUUUAUGCAAAAGUCGUGCCUGUCACAUUAUGAUGCUGCUUUGAGAGUGGUGAGUUACCUGCAGCAUUGCCCUAUUCAAGGUUUGUUCAUGUCUCCUUCAUCUUCAUUUUCCCUUCAAGCUUUUUGUGAUGCCGACUGGGCGUCCUGUAGAGAUACAAGGAGGUCGAUCAAUGGGUUUUUUAUCAGUUUGGGCGGUUCACCCAUUUCUUGGAAAUCUAAGAAACAGGCCUCUGUUUCCCUCUCUUCCGCUGAGGCGGAGUAUCGAUCUAUGCGGCGCCUUGUUGCCAAGUUGACCUGGUUGGUGCGCUUACUCUCCGAUCUGUCCGUUCCUCCUGACCUUCCAGUCCCAGUUCACUCCGACAGUCAGGCUGCUAUCCAUAUCGCUCGAAAUCCGGUCUUUCAUGAACGGACCAAACAUGUUGAUCUCGAUUGCCAUUUUGUUCGCCAACAGUACUUAUCUGGGCUCAUCUCACUCUCCUUUGUUCCGUCAAAAGCACAACUGGCUGACCUUUCUCACCAAAUCUCUCUCUGGUCCUCUCCAUCGCUCUCUUCUUCCCAAGAUGGGUCUCACUCAGCUCCUCUCCAUCUUGCUGGGGGAUGUUGGAAUUAUUGAUGAUAAACAAGGAAAGGAGACAUCAAAGGGAGAAAAGACAAACAAGCAGACAAGAGCUUCAUGUUUGGCUUUGAUCUCAUCGGAAAAGUCUAAUCCCUUCAUCUGGUCUGAAAAGGACAAAAGGGUGGUACACUCUGGGCUGAAGAAUUGUUUUAACAUUGGGCUAGCUAAAAUCCCACCUCAGAUAAAAGAAGUCAUCAGACCAUUUCGUAUAAAUGGCCCAAUAGACAAUAGAUAUGCAACAUACAUACAUAGAAAAGGAAUAAAGUUUGUUAUAGAUUAAGCCAAUUAAUCUUGUACAUCUGGCAUAGCAGUUAGAAUAGAAGGUUCCUUUUAUUUCCUCUUUUGUAUAUAAAUAUAGGAUCAAGAAUUGUAAAUUGGAUCGAUCAACAUACACAGAAAUUUUUCAAGUCCUGUUUGCUUUCUUUCAAGUUAAAAGCUACUACCUCAGUCUACAUAUAUUUGGUUAGCUCGAAUGCGUUAAGCAUUUAAUGGAAAGCAUUUAGGUAUGAUUCUAGACCUUAUUUGUGCUAGUUUUUUUGUUUAAUAGAUGCAAUAUGAGAAUUGAUCUUUGUUUGACUGAUACAGAUACUAAUAUUGUUGAGGCACUACGGAAAAUUGCCUCUCUACCUUCGAGAUUGGGGUAAGGUUCAGACACACUUGUUUUAGCACAUUGUUGAGCUCUAUCCUGCCCGAAUUCUUUGUGAAGAAAUUUCAGAUGAUACCCUUAAACUAGUACGAGGUUUUUCUACACUGCUUCCACCAUGUAGGAGCACUUUCAUCUUAUAUACAUACAUAAACCUAAUUUCAUAUGUAAUAAUUACAAAAUAUCUUUUCAAAAGACUGAUCAUCAAAUUUAGUUUAAUUGCUCAUGGAGGAUGCAUUAAAGGGGACUGAAAUUCUUAUAAUAAAGGUCCACAAAGUUGCAUCUACAACAUUGUGAUCCCAACUAGUGUAAACCUUAGUUGCACGGACGCUUCACUUUUGAUGCCGCACUCGUGUCGGAUUCUCCAAAUAUACACUAUUUUUGGCGAAUCGAACACACACCGUUGACAUUGUUGAAGAGUCCGAACAACAUAGACGUAAACUUGUUUUUCUUGAAUGGUUCUUCUGCAAUUAACUUUGGGUAGAGUGAUCUUGAUAAACUCUGUUUUAGAUUCACUACCUACUUAUGUUAUGUCGUUAUUUCCAAUUCCUCCAAUAG